GACGAACGCUGGCGGCGUGCUUAACACAUGCAAGUCGAACGGAAAGGCCCUGCUUUUGUGGGGUGCUCGAGUGGCGAACGGGUGAGUAACACGUGAGUAACCUGCCCUUGACUUUGGGAUAACUUCAGGAAACUGGGGCUAAUACCGGAUAGGAGCUCCUGCUGCAUGGUGGGGGUUGGAAAGUUUCUGCGGUUGGGGAUGGACUCGCGGCUUAUCAGCUUGUUGGUGGGGUAGUGGCUUACCAAGGCUUUGACGGGUAGCCGGCCUGAGAGGGUGACCGGCCACAUUGGGACUGAGAGACGGCCCAGACUCCUACGGGAGGCAGCAGUGGGGAAUAUUGCACAAUGGGCGGAAGCCUGAUGCAGCAACGCCGCGUGCGGGAUGACGGCCUUCGGGUUGUAAACCGCUUUCGCCUGUGACGAAGCGUGAGUGACGGUAAUGGGUAAAGAAGCACCGGCUAACUACGUG
rnacentral:rRNA from 1 species